AGACGACUCAUGUUGGAGCACAGUAUGGUCAGACAGCUUUUCUUUAUCAUGUUGUCACAAGAUGGAAUGUUGAUCUAGAUGUGCCUGAUAAUGAUGGAAGAAGUCUUCUCUAUUGGGCUGCUUAUAAAGGCUUCGCCGAUUGUAUUUGCCUUCUAUUAUUCCUGGAUGCUUAUAGGGGGCGACAAGAUAAAGAAGGUUGUACCACUCUUCAUUAGGCUGCUAUCAGGGGAAACCUUGAGGCAUGUACAAUGCUAGUUCAAGCAGGGAAGAAAGAGGAUUUGAUGGUGACAGACAACACAGGCUUUACUCUAGCACAACUGGCAUCUGACAAGAAUCAUCGGCAAGUCGUUUUUUUCCUUGUAGGUAUUCUUAGCUGAAGAACAGUUGGUAUUUUGCAGUGGUCUAGCAACUUCUAGUUAAUAAUCCGUCACUUUUAUCUUUGAUGGACCCAUACCAUAUGAAUUGCUUCAGCAGCACCGAUCUAUUGCAUGAUAACUGUUGGUAUCUCUAAGUGGUUAGCUGAUUGUUUGAAGUGUGACAUUAGUAACCAUGGGACUUACACCACAUCUCCUGUUGAGGAUGGGACUCUCAACUUGUAUAUUGAUUUCUACCAGUCAUUUUGUUUUGGUUUUUAUAUGGCUAUGGAAACAUUUUCUACUUGGAAUAAGAGACAUUGUAGAAUAGGCUAUGAACCCCGACA